AUGGCUACAGUCUCCCAAGGGUCCUACCUUUCCUCAGAGCUAUUUCCCGACAGAACACACAGUGUCUAUAUGCAGCUCCUCCAGCGGGGAGGCCUACGUGUGUGCAGAACCACAGUAAGAAUGGUACUUUCAUUCCACAAAACGAAUGCAAAUUUCUACUUCCCAUCUCCUCAAAAGCCAAGAGACAGUCUCUUCCCUCAUGAAAAGAAACCUCUGUCUGCCCUCGAAGUCAAUUCUGCUCUCCCUGCUUUCUUUUCAGAUCCUUAGUACAUCAUGCCUGGCAAAAGGGAGGCCACUGUACAGGAAACCAAAUCACUUGAAUCAGCAAUUCAUCGAUAACAGCAGAUAGCAUGUAGUGUCAUAUGGAAAUAAUUUGAGGUGAUCUACAGAGAAAGGGAAACUAGGUAUUAAGAUGACAAUCUAAUGCAAGUUUGGUUUGGGAUAAGUUUAUAUCACUCAUAAGAUAGUUCUCUUAGCUUAAUUUGUGUGUCAAGUGAAAAUGAAUGUCAAGAUGUGCCCUGGACAUUGUCCCACAACCUUACAACACACACUGACAGUAGACAUGGCUUUGGGCAUUCUUAGCAGCAAAUUACAAACACUUUAUCAUUUUUUCUAAAUAGAUAUUGUCACUGCUUUUUGUCCUGUACAGUAAAUGUACUUUAGCAAAAUGAGGUACGUUCUCAUUUGCUCUUUCAGAAAUACCUAAGAAGCUCUUUCCAGUGUUCAUUUUUUCCUACCAGGUAUAGUAGCAGGAUGCUUUAGAUAACUGAUGCUUUACAUAAAUGGAUACAAUAUAACCCUUACAUCAUAGUACAGCAUUUCAAAAGCUCUGAAACUCUAAGGAGUACAGGCAGCCAGGAGGUUGAGAACAGCUAGAGGACAGUGCUAGUGUAGCAGUAUUCCAGAAAUUUCUUAAUUCUGUCCUUUCAUACGUCCAUUAAAAUUUUAUUAUACAUUUCUGUAGAUAUUUCAUGUCUGCUUUUGCUUUUGAAAACUCAAUACGUAUUGAAGCCUAUAAACUAAUAACUCGCACGAAUAGCAUCCCGUCCUCAGGUCUGGAAGCCGUACUGCAUUCUAUUUGGCAUUUCAAACCAUUAGUCAGACAUUGGCAGUGUCAAGAAAACUUCAGUUGAAGUGGAAGGUAAUGCAUGCAGCUGAGUUUGACUUCCAGUUUUCCAAUUUGUUCUGUUCCAUGAUUAUUUCUCUGCAUCAGCAUUCAUGGGAAUUUUUAAGUCAAAUAUAGAACUUCACAUUGCCAACAGCUAAAGUUCCAUCUGCAAUCUGAACAGUCAAGCUGAGCUCCUUCUGCUACACGUAAUACUUACAUCACCAUUAUUAAGAAAUAUUGUGAAAUUAGAAUUCUGUAGGCACAUUUUCUAAUGAUCUACAGGCAGAACGGAACAAUUUGCUCUUUCACACUUUUACUAUUUCUCUAGUUAUAAAUCUCAUAAAAACUAAUUCUGUGAGGUAACAGUUUUAAAUCUCAGUGAAACAAAAUUAGAGAGAACUAAAUUAAUAUGCUUACCUAAUAAAUAUUUA
rnacentral:lncRNA from 1 species